rnacentral:rRNA from 1 species
AUUGAACGUUGGCGGCACGCCUUAUACAUGCAAGUCGAACGAGAAAGCACCUUCGGGUGUGAGUAAAGUGGCGGACGGGUGAGUAACGCGUAGGAACAUGCCCAGUAGUGGGGGACAACUCGGGGAAACUCGAGCUAAUACCGCAUACGCUCCUUUUCAUUGAAGAGGAGGAAAGUGGGGGAUCUUCGGACCUCACGCUAUUGGAGUGGCCUGCGUUGGAUUAGCUUGUUGGUGAGGUAAAGGCUCACCAAGGCGACGAUCUAUAGCUGGUCUGAGAGGACGAUCAGCCACACUGGAACUGAGACACGGUCCAGACUCCUACGGGAGGCAGCAGUGGGGAAUAUUGGACAAUGGGCGCAAGCCUGAUCCAGCAAUGCCGCGUGUGUGAAGAAGGCCUUCGGGUUGUAAAGCACUUUCACCCGUGAAGACGAUGACGGUAGCGGGAGAAGAAGCCCCGGCUAACUCCGUG